UACGGGGGGGGCAAGCGUUGUUCGGAAUUACUGGGCGUAAAGGGCGCGUAGGCGGCCUGCUAAGUCGGAUGUGAAAUCCCUCGGCUCAACCGAGGAACUGCAUCCGAUACUGGCGGGCUUGAAUCCGGGAGAGGGAUGUGGAAUUCCAGGUGUAGCGGUGAAAUGCGUAGAUAUCUGGAGGAACACCGGUGGCGAAGGCGGCAUCCUGGACCGGUAUUGACGCUGAGGAGCGAAAGCGUGGGGAGCGAACAGG
rnacentral:rRNA from 1 species